UAUGGGUGGCGAGUGGCGGACGGGUGAGUAAUGCGUAGGAAUCUGUCUUAGUGAUUGGGAUAACCCGAGGAAACUCGGGCUAAUACCAAAUAAUAUCGCGAGAUCAAAAGCAGGGGACUCUACGCAAGUAGAGCCUUGUGCACUAAGGUGAGCCUACGUCGGAUUAGCUAGUUGGUAAGGUAAAGGCUUACCAAGGCGACGAUCCCUAGCUGGUCUGAGAGGAUGACCAGCCACACUGGAACUGAGACACGGUCCAGACUCCUACGGGAGGCAGCAGUGGGGAAUUUUGGACAAUGGAGGCAACUCUGAACCAGCCAUGCCGCGUGCAGGAAGACUGCCCUAUGGGUUGUAAACUGCUUUUAUCCGGGAAUAAACCACAUUACGAGUAAUGUGCUGAAUGUACCGGAAGAAUAAGGAUCGGCUAACUCCGUGCCAGCAGCCGCGGUAAUACGGAGGAUCCAAGCGUUAUCCGGAUUUAUUGGGUUUAAAGGGUGCGUAGGCGGCCUGUUAAGUCAGGGGUGAAAGACGGUAGCUCAACUAUCGCAGUGCCCUUGAUACUGAUGGGCUUGAAUGGACUAGAGGUAGGCGGAAUGAGACAAGUAGCGGUGAAAUGCAUAGAUAUGUCUCAGAACACCGAUUGCGAAGGCAGCUUACUAUGGUCUUAUUGACGCUGAGGCACGAAAGCGUGGGGAUCAAACAGGAUUAGAUACCCUGGUAGUCCACGCCCUAAACGAUGAACACUCGCUGUUGGCGAUACACAGUCAGCGGCUAAGCGAAAGC
rnacentral:rRNA from 1 species